UGAUUUUAUGAAAAAUGGGUUUAAAUGGUAAAUUGCUAUGUUUUAAGAGAAAUUGUGAUUUUAUAAAAUGAUUUUAUAAAUUUUCUAGAAAAUCGAAUAUUGGUUUUGAAAAUAGAGUAAUUGGAGACUGCUAGUUUGUGUUGCAAAUUUAUGGUUUUGAAUUGAAUGGCUUAUGACAAUAAAUGAGCAUGAAUGGCUAAACUGAUUUUGGUGUUAGAAUUAUUUAUACUGUGUAUUCAGCCUUGAGAGGCUAGGUUGCGAUAAAUUGCCAUGUCAUGCUAGAAUGAAUUUUAUUGAUUGGUGGAUUAUAUAUUAAUUAUUUACUGCAGAGGGGGUUCCGUGGACCAGCCUAUUAGAGGGGCACGGUAAACUCCAUUAUAUUAUUACCUCGAACGGAGAGGCGCGUAGGGUAUCUCCUGGGGUAAAGCUUAGGGUUCACUUCACGCCAAACCACCACGUGAAGGGGAACUCAGCCAACGCCAAGGAACGGCUGUAUUUUUCUCAAACUAAAAAUAUAUUUUAAGUGUAUACAAAAUUUUAACAGCCUUGGCGGACUCGGUUGGAUGCCCUGCGCAAGGUAUCACCGAGUAUGAGUUUUGGCACGAGCCAAAGUUUUAAGAAAUUCAUAAGCCAAGUUGAUUACUCGAUUUAUAUGGAUUGAUUUUAUUUGGUUGAAAUGAACUGAAAGGUAAUGAAAUUACGGUAUGAUGACUUAUUUUAAUUGUCUCCAUUUACUCGGCUUUAGAUACUUUAGAUGGUAUCUGUUUACUCACUGGGAUUAUAAAAUCUCACCCCUUCUUCCUAUACAUUUUUCAGGCUCAGGACAGUUUGUAGAUAGUCGAGUAGGACGAGAACUAAGCUCGGAACUGCAUUAUAGAAAGUAAGAGUUCACAGUCUUACAUCCUCUUGGUCAAUUGGAGCCCACGUGUCAUUGCAGAUCAAAACUUAUAUUUUGGUUAUCUGUAUUUCUAUUCAUACAAUUUUUACUUUACUUUCAUGUGCGAAAAAUUAUUUACGAAUAUUUCUAUAAAAAUUUAUUUUAUGAGAAAAUAGAAUAUUUUAUUGAUUAUUUUUGAAUAGUACUAGUUGUUAACAAUUUACUUUCAAAUGAACGUUUUAGAUACUUAAUUUGUUUUUAAAUCAUUAAAUAUAUAUUUUCGGCUUACCUACUACAUUUUUAGCAAGUUUCGAGGUUUUCGACAAAAAUGACAAAAAUGCCCCUGUGAAAAAAAAAAAAAAAUGUUAUGUUAUGAUUUGGAAAUGAUUUGUAAUCCUUCGUAUUUUGAUUAUUUGAUAACUAUUGCUCACCGGGGAAGUGCGAAAGCUGAUACGAGAGCCUUGCGAGGUUUCGAUCGACAUUCGGGGUGAAGAAUGUUUGUCGAGGCUUCGCGGCGGUUGUCACGGGCUCGAUGGGGAGUUCCGGGUCGUGACAAUUUAGAUUGGUAUCAGAGCAUGGUUUAAAGAUCAGAUAUUUUGAUUUUAAAGCUUUGGAUUUUAAAGUUUUUGAUUUUAAGGUUGUUUUAAGAAAUCUACACUGACACUGCGUGGCCCCAAGUCCAGUUAAGUUAAGAUAAGUUAAGUUAAGUUAAGUUAGGUUAGAUUGAAUAGAAUGUAUGCAUCUACAUAUAGAAAUCUACCUACUUUUGAGAUGCAUAAAUAAUUAAACAAUUACUAUUUGAUUGCAUAUAGGUUUUGAGGUGCACUGGUGACAUACACACCAUGUCUAGAAGAGGUGGUAGUCUCGAUACCUCUCAUAGUGAUAGCGAGGGAUCUCUAGAUUCUACGGCUAGAAGCAAAUGGCACCCUGAUACAGGUGAUUCGGAAGGUGGUCCAUCCCGAAUUCCUGAUAAUGGAAUUCCUAAGAACUUAGCAGAAUGGGUUCAUAAUAAGGAAAGCUUUGAGAGUAGCCAGAAUUUUGAAAGUGAGAGUAGCUCCAAUAUUCUGAAAACUGAAAUAGAUUUCCUUUUGAAACAAUCCGAAGAGUACCAUAGAGAACAUACGAGGAAGGCAAUUGCAAGGGGAGAUAUUCGUCUUAGGAAGGGGGUGAACGUUGUACGCCAUUUUCCUCCUGGAUGUGGAAGAAAUGCUGCACCGGUGAGUGCCGAGGAAAUUAGGAGAAGACAACAAGCUUGGAUUGAAAAGCAAAGAAAAAAAUCUCAAGAGGAGGAAAACCCGGAAGAGGAUCUUUAGGAGGACUCGGAGUAGAAUCUUCCGAUAAGAUCAGAUUAAGAUGAUGAUCCCAAGGACAUGUAAUAUUUUCGUAGGAUUUUACACUACCUUAACUCUAAGUAGAUGUUGUGUAAAAGAGAUAAUAAUUAUCUGUACAAAGAAGUAAAAAUAGUUUGGCUUUUAAAGUAUAGGACUAGAAUGUAUUAUAAAAUGGUUGUUUAAGUAACUGAAGGUAUAUGGGAAUCUUUAGUAUGAUAGAGAUAAAUUGGUAAUAUAAUUAUUGAGGAAGGUUAUAGAAGGAAGCAAUAAGGUUAUAAAUGACAUUCGGAAUGGAUAAUGUGAUUACGUUAAUGAUUGUAAUUUAAGCAUGAAGGGGAUUAUUCAGUGAUGUUAUGACACUAUGAGGUAAUAGUUGGGCACAAAUAUAACCCAAUGAAGUUAAAUUAUGGAAUAUGGGGAAUAUAAAAUUUUGAUUCAGUAAGGAUUGUGAGAAUAAAAUAAGGAGGAAGCUGGGCUGUUUUCGUAGUUAAUUAUACCGAAAGUCAAUAAGAUUAUUGGAGUAUAAGACAAAGAAGAUAAUUGGAUAGGGAUGACAAUAAAUUUGAGGAAAGUUGUAGAUAGUAAGCAACUUAUGUGUGGAGUGGUAUAUGUAUCAUGAAUUUAUUACACUGUAUGGAAAGGAUGUUUUGAGGUGGAAUUUUAUGAAUGUUGAUAAACGUCAAAAGAUGACAUGAGAUGAAAGUAUUAAUCUGGCUUAGUGUGUAUGACAAGAAAAUAGAAGGUACCUAUACUUAUGGAACUCAUGAUAUAUAUCUAAAAGGGAAACCACUGGUUGAGAAUGAUUGAUGUGGUGACUUUGAAUGCAGACAAAUAGCUUUGAUGAGAAAAUUUCUAAUAGCUACAGUGCUUCAACAUUGACUGUUCAACGCUAUAAUGCUCCGAAUACCUCACGCCUAUGAUGCAUGAGUAAGAUGGGAGUGACACGAUAAUGAGCUUACAAAUUGAAUUUUGGUUGUUGGUCAUUGUGUUUUGUUAUCUGGGAGUCUUAAAUAUUCUGGAGAAUGUUUACCCAAAUGAAUUGAAAAACUUCUUUAUUGCCUUGUAUAUAGGCAUAUAAUUAAAAAAAAAAAAAUUGAAAGAUUCUUGAGAUGACUAUAUUGAGAUGAGAUACCAAGUAAUGAAAGUGUGAAGGAAGAAUUACGAGACUGGUAUAGAAAAUCAGUUUAUAUAGAAUAUCAUUACGAGAAUUUGUAAUAUCUGUUUUGAUACAGUAAAAUGACAAGAGUUAGGAACAACAUGAGGCUAAUUGUGUGACACCCUAGAAACCUAUGAAGAUGAGUUAGGGAUUGAAUGGAUGAGUACGUAUUUAUAUAUCUUUAAGAUUAAGUGUUUUAGGAAUACAUAAACAUCUUUGAGAAGAGAUUCUAAUCAUACACAGCAAGUAUGAAACGUAAAAUUUUUAAAACUUGCUGAGAAGCCUAACGGCUAAAUCACAAGUUAAGGGAUCACAUGCUGUGAGACAUAAGUUUAAGAUAGAUAUUCCCAAGGAAAUACUCAAGAGAAGUUUUGCUCUGGAUCUCGUUAAAGCAAGCACUAAGUUAUGUGAUUAUAAAAAGGAAGCUGUAAGCUGAGAGUGAUAUUAGUAUUAAUAUUGAAAAAUACUUGAGGAGAAUCUAGUUUUAAGUUUUACAAUUUCAAGUACAAUUUAUAAAUUAGUUAAGGAAGAAUGAUGUUAUGUUCAUAUGAAGGAGUGGAACAAAGGAUGAUAGAAGUUGACCUUGAAAAUGAAGUCAGAUAAUGAAACUUUCCUAAUAUAUUAUGGAAAUUGGAAUUCGAAAAUGCUUAAGGCAUACAUGAUUCAAAUGGGUUCGAGUCUUAAGUGACAAAUCAAUAUCGUAAUGCAAGAAAGAUACAAGGUAAUAUAGAGGCAUGAAAGAUGAUUAAGGACAAAAGGAUGACUCUUAGGAAUUGUGGUAUUGCAUGAGAUGCAAUGAUCAAGUUGAGAUAAAUCUUUGAGGCAUCAAUAGGAUUAUAAAGCAUACACGCAUAAUAGAUUAUAAUUCAAUGGAGAUGACAUUGUGAUGAAUGAUAUAUAGUAUAAGGAAACUCAAACAUAUGGUUGGAAAUGAUAUGAAUGAUAUGAAGUUAUACACAAGUAUAAUAAGAAGGUUGACAUGCACUAUAAGAAUUAUUAUAUUGAAACUAGGAUUGGGAUACGGAUGAAUAAUGGGGGAAUGUAGUCCAAGGCAUGUGAACACAUGGAUUCCUAUAUAUAAAGAGAGAGGUUGACAUUUGAAAAUGCAUGUAUAUAUGUAUAUAUGAAAUUGAUAAUUUUACUAACUGAAGUGAAGAAUGGUUCUCGGUAAUUGGGAGAUUUUGAAAUAGUGUCCAGAGAGGUUAGUGAGCUAAAGUGUUAACAGACAUGUAAUGAACGAUUAAAGUUAUGAAUGACUUUGAAAGUAAACCUUGAAUUGUUUAAGUUUUUAAUGGAACUCCAUUAAAGGAAGGGUUUGGACCAGUAUAAGAUGGAUGAAUCAAGGUUGAGAAAAUUGGUAUGGAGCAAAUUAAUAAAAUGAUGAAUAGGUAUACAUAAGUAAGUAUGAUAUGUGAUCGAAAUCGGUAUAAUUGAGAUGAAGUUAUGGUUCAAAUGUAAUAAUGGUGAUAAAGGCAUGCUUAGUGUCUAGAUAUAAGAGAUCAUGGUUGUGAAAAGUAUUACUGAUCCGGUUCCAAAGGAUGAUAAUUGCCAUAAAUAAAGCAUUUAAUUGAACUGAAGGUGAACGAGGGAAAUAAAUUGAAUGUCCCUAUAGAAGGAACAAGGAGUAGGAUCAUAGAAGGAGAUUGAUAACGCAACAUCGACGGGAAUUCGAGGACGAAUUCUAUUUAAGUGGGGGAGAUUGAAAUACCCCAUACUUUGAUAUAGUGAUAAAUAAAGUUGAUCGAAUGCAAAUUGAGGUCAAUUAAAAUGUUUAAAAGUGAUAAAAGACGAAAGGAGUAGUUUAGGAUAAAAUAUUUCGCAAGUGAGAAAAUAACAAUAAAAUAAUAAUAAUUUUAUCAGAGGAGAAUUUGUGAGAUAAAAGGCGAUUCAGAAGUCAAGUGAGGCAUAAUAAGGUAUUUCAGGUACCAAGGAGACAAGAUAAAAUUUUUAAAAUAUUAAUAUUUAGCCGGAUGUCGAAAUCAGUCAAGAAGAAAGAUCAUAUGGUUGAUUCAAGUGGGGGAGAAGAUGACAAGCCCGACUCUAUAAAAAUAAUUGUCAUGACAUACAUGUGAUGGAUAGCAUGUUUGCAUGCUAAGAGAGUCCCGAAAAAAAUUUACAAAAGUCGGUAUUAUACCUAGACGUACAACAAAGUUGAUUUAAACCUCGAACUAGAUCAAAUAGAGAAUUUACGAUGAAAUUAAGAAUUUUAAAGUCCCAGAAUGGUUUAAUAUGGUGAUUCGGAGUUUGAGGAUCAAUUUGGAGUCAAACCGGAAUUUUCGCUAUCUAGGGGCAAAAUGGUCAUUUGCCACCUGGGGACAAAAUGGAAAUUUUUAGAAAAGAUUUUUGGCCCCAUUUGACUUAUUGGAGUAAGAUUUGAGGUUUAGAAGUGAAAAAUUUUAAUUUCGGUAUAAUUUGGAGAAAAAGGGUAAAAUGGUAAUUUUGCCAUCCGAAAUCGAAAAUUUAAUUUUUGAAAGGAUUUUGAUCAAAUUUAAUUAUUUGGAGUGUGAAAUGAGUAUGAGGAGUGCAAAUUAUGCAUUAUGGCAAAUUUUCAAUUUUUGGGGCAAAAAUGUAAUUUUUGAAAAGUUCGGGGGCAAAAGUGUAAUUUUGAAAAAUUUGCUCCACCAAAACUUUGGAAAAAUCUGGAAAUUUCACUUAAGACUUGGAUAAGUCAAAGGGAAUGCAUGGUGGAAAAAGUAGGACAAAUGGAUGGCUAGAAAAAAAAAUGAAUUAAUAAAAUAUUUAAAAUAUGAAUAAAAUAAUAUUAUUUCAUUAAACAAUAAAAAAGGCAUAAAAAAAUCAGCCCACCCAUUCUUCUUCUUCAACAUUCGGCCAAGCAAGAAACAAGAGAGAGAAAGGAGAAAAUAAAACCCUAGCUAAGAAAUUUAAAGGGAAAAUAGGUGGAAAUUCAAAAAUCAAGGAAAAAAAGGUAACAUUUCUUAAAUUUGUCUUGUGCUUUACCUUUCCCAUGCAUUUUCCAUCAUUUUUCAUGGUUGAAUCAUGUGAUUUGAGGAUGAUUUGAAUUCUGGUCAUAUGGGUUUAGAGAGAGAAAGUUGUUAGAUAAAUUUGAUUUUGAGCUAUGUUAGUGUUUAGUGUUAGUUUAGCAUGUUUAUGAGUAAAACAACAAGAAAAAUAUUUAUCUUCUCCAUGAAUUUCUCUAGGCCGAAUCUAGCCAAUGGUAUGUGAGGAUGAGGUUGACUUUAUUUUAAGAGAAUUGGGUGGAAAAAUGAUGAAUUAUGAGGUUGGAAAUUAAAUGGGAAUUUUCGGUGCAAUAAAUUGAAAUUUUUACCCACUAGGGGUAAAAGCGUAAUUUAUAGUCCGGACUGAUAAAUUGGACCAAAUUCACAGUCAUUGAGGUAUUGUGGAUAUAAUUGGAUAAUUGAAAUUGAAAUGGAUGGAAUUGGAGUCGAAUUGGGGAUUUUAGGAAUUUACACCGUGUAUAGGCGAGUUAGGUCGGACACCGCAAUUAAGCGAUUGUCUAGACAUUUCAAAUCCUAUCUAGUGCAUACGCAUGGAUAAGAGCCUGAAAUAAUUUAUGAUAAAUUGACACAAUUUAUUGAAUUUUGUGUCAUGGAUUAUGGAUAGGUGGUGAGUCAAUUGUUUCGGGUAAGAGACUGCACCCGAGGGCGGAAGAUAGGAGUAUUUCUACUCCUAAUACUGUGAGUAAACUUAUUAUCGUCUUAAUUAUCUAGAGUAGUUUUAUACAACUGUGUGAUUUUAUGAAAAAUGGGUUUAAAUGGUAAAUUGCUAUGUUUUAAGAGAAAUUGUGAUUUUAUAAAAUGAUUUUAUAAAUUUUCUGGAAAAUCGAAUAUUGGUUUUGAAAAUAGAGUAAUUGGAGACUGCUAGUUUGUGUUGCAAAUUUAUGGUUUUGAAUUGAAUGGCUUAUGACAAUAAAUGAGCAUGAAUGGCUAAACUGAUUUUGGUGUUAGAAUUAUUUAUACUGUGUAUUCAGCCUUGAGAGGCUAGGUUGCGAUAAAUUGCCAUGUCAUGCUAGAAUGAAUUUUAUUGAUUGGUGGAUUAUAUAUUAAUUAUUUACUGCAGAGGGGGUUCCGUGGACCAGCCUAUUAGAGGGGCACGGUAAACUCCAUUAUAUUAUUACCUCGAACGGAGAGGCGCGUAGGGUAUCUCCUGGGGUAAAGCUUAGGGUUCACUUCACGCUAAACCACCACGUGAAGGGGAACUCAGCCAACGCCAAGGAACGGCUGUAUUUUUCUCAAACUAAAAAUAUAUUUUAAGUGUAUACGAAAUUUUAACAGCCUUGGCGGACUCGGUUGGAUGCCCUGCGCAAGGUAUCACCGAGUAUGAGUUUUGGCACGAGCCAAAGUUUUAAGAAAUUCAUAAGCCAAGUUGAUUACUCGAUUUAUAUGGAUUGAUUUUAUUUGGUUGAAAUGAACUGAAAGGUAAUGAAAUUACAGUAUGAUGACUUAUUUUAAUUGUCUCCAUUUACUCGGCUUUAGAUACUUUAGAUGGUAUCUGUUUACUCACUGGGAUUAUAAAAUC
rnacentral:lncRNA from 1 species